AUCCAAUUCCUCUUCCCCACUGCACAGCUCUGGGCUGCCAGGAGCAGGACUGGGGCUGCGUGUGCUGAGCUCGCCCCAUGCAUGGAGAUGCCCAGAGCCCAGGGUGGGGGCUGGGGGGGUGGGAGAAGGACCCAACUUGGGGUCAAUGUCCUGUCCUCAGCCCCCAUCCCAGCCCCCACAUGCAAUCAGAUUCACACUCCCUGCACACCACGGUAAUUCCCCAUGCCCUGCCCUGCUGGGGACCCACUCACCUGCAGAAAAUGGGUUUUUAAUAGAGUUUGGUUUUUCUAUCACCUCUUUGCUGCGCUGCUUUAAAUCUCGUUCCACACAGAAGCUUUGCACAGCCACUGGGGCUGAGCACAGCCAUCGUGCUGGGGAGACGCAGGGUGGAGGAAAACCAGACCCCAAUGGAUCCCAAUGGCUGGGGGGGAUACGUGGCAUCCCCUCGAGGGACAGCUGGGCCCGGCUGGAUGUGGCUGUGAGCACGCAGGGCUGGGACGCGCCGUGCAGACGCGGUCAUUGCUCUCAUCAGAAAUAAACAGGAAGAUGGGAUGAGCCUCAGCCAAGGGCUUGGGCAAUGAGGGGCUGUGCAGGGGCAGCAGGACUGCAGCUCCCAGCUCCAGCCAGCAGCAAGUCCCUACAGGAGAGCAUCCACACACAGUGUCCGGGGGGAGAAAAUCGAGGGAUAUAAGGCAGUGAGCAGAGCAGGAGAGCCUAGCUCCUUUCAGGCAGCCGGCAGCGGAUGAGCUCGGGCGACAGCACCCAAUUAUUGCAGCUCAGCGGGGGAAAAGGGAAAGAAAGGAAGGAAAGAAAGAGCAAUUAUCGGGACCUCGUCUGUGGCGCGGCACAGGGCUGCAAUUUCAAACCAGGCUGAGUUUGCCCGGCCCUUCUCUCACUCCCAGCACUGAGCACAUGACAGCUCACAUUUAUUUUUCAAUGGGCAGCCACCCAUCUCUGCCCUUCAGCUCCAGGCCUGGCUCCUUGUGCCCAUCCAGCGCCGCAUCCACAUCCAGCACCACGCAGAGCAGUUUCCUGCAGGAUAACCACAGACUUCCAAGGGCUGCAGGUGUCGGUUCCGUGUUGUCCCCCACUCGAGCACAGAUCACAUCCCACAGCACCCCCUGCCCCUGCUCAGCCCUCAUUGACUACUGAAGCCCCGCUGCUGCUGGGGGGCUGCGCUGCUUUUCCCCCUCCCCACCUCACCCUCUCCUACCUUUCCCUCCCGAGUUGCUCCCGGCCCCGAAAUCACAGCCUCGAAUAUUAAAAAAGGUCAGGCUUCAGCUCUGGUGAAGUAGCAGAAAUCAGGGCAGCGUGAAGAGCAGCAGCACAGCGGGACCGCGAGCGGGGUGAGAGGAUAUGGGGGUCCCGGUGCCGUGCCCCCGGCACCUCUCACCCCAACAACGUUUGUGCCAUUCCCCACCACCUCUGGCUCAGCCACUGACAAUUAAAUUUAAUGAUGCCUUUAAGAAAUAAUAGCGUAUGCUGUUUGAAUGGGGCUGCCUGGAGCGGGGCGGGUUGCUGCUUAUUGGGAUGGGCGACGGGGGUGUGUGUGUAUGGGUGGUGACCCCGUAGCGUUUCCCUGCCCAAGGAACUGCCCAACGGGGCCCAGAUCCCCUCGUGAUGGCCGGGGUGGAAUGGCAAAGAGCACAGUAAGGGGACAAGGUGGGGGGUGGCUCAGGGGACAGCGGGGUGACACAUCCCAGCAGGAGAGCAGCCGUUUGCAUCGAUCCUAAAAGCAUUUUGCAGCAUCACCCACUCGAGUGAACCGGCUUCACCCAUCAGAUCCAGCAGCACCCAGGGGCAGAGACACCACCGAGGCCAUUUGGGGGCCGUGCUGGAGCAGGGGGAUGCUCUCGGGGAGCUGAAGAUUACCUGCAAU
ensembl:lncRNA